CAGAAGAAGAAGAAGAGGAGGCGGAGGUUAUCCAGUUUCUUCUAGAGUUUCUGCUCGAGAUCAAACUCUUCAGAUCCAUCAUGGAGGACACACACACUUCUGGAGAUCAGGAUUUGUUUACAGGAUGCAGCUCACGUAAGAGGAAGAGAGCAGAAGCAGAGCCCAGCUGUGUGUCUAUAAAGAGUGAUGUGUCUAUGGAGCCACCAACAAAUUUUAAGAGUGAAAACACCCGAC